rnacentral:lncRNA from 1 species
CUGAGACACCUGGAGCCCCGCCCACCCCUGGGACCUGCCCAAUAAAACCCCAAAAACCUUAAAAAAACCCCCAAAAAUCCCGAAAUUCCUGGGUUUUCCAGAGGAAGCGGAUGGUGGUGCCGGCUGCCCUCAAAAUCAUCCGCCUCAAACCCACGCGCAAGUUUGCCGUUCUGGGCCGGCUGGCACACGAGGUGGGCUGGAAGUACCGGGACGUGACCGAGGCCCUGGAGGAGAAGCGGAAGGAGAAGGCCAAGCUCCGCUACAACAAGAAGAGGAAGAUGAUGAGCCUGCGGCGCCGGGCCGAGCGCAGCGCGGAGAAGAAAGCGGCGCCGUUCACGGCAGUGCUGCGGCAGCACGGGAUCCUGCUGUAACCAACCCAAUAGGGGCUGUAAUAAACCCAAACUGGGAUACACUGGCAGUGGCCGGCCACUGUUUUGGGGUGGUUUCAGAGAUUUUGGCGAUUUUAUUAAACCACGGGCGCGCAGCACCAAAGCUGCUGCGGUCACUCCGGGGUCACUCAGGAGGGUUAGGGGUCACUUGGGAGGGUGGCUGGUCACUCCAGGCAGUCAGUGGUCACUCCAGAGGGUGGCUGGUCACUCAGGAGGGUCAGUGGCCGCUCCGGGUGGUCAGUGGUCACUCCGGAGGGUGGCUGGUCACUCGAGAGGGUCAGUGGCCGCUCCGGGUGGUCAGUGGUCGCUCCGGACAGCCGCACCCCCACCUGGGCCCGCGCCUCGUCCAGCAGCUGUGCAAUGACCUCGCUCUCGGCCAGCGGCAUCUCGGGGCUCUCAGUCAGUCCUGGGUCACCCCAAACCCGGCAUUCACCCCAAAAUUGGGGGUUUCACCCCAAAACCCCGGGGCUUUCCCCCAAAACCUGUUGUUCCCCCCCAGACCCGUUGUUUUGCCCAAAACAGUGUGGUUUUGCCCCAAA